AUGUUUCAUUUCACCAGACAGAUUUCUCCACAACAGAGCAAGCACAAAGGAAAUGUCAGCCAACUCUGUGCAUUUUCUGGAAUUCAGAAGGACCAUCUGCUACCCACACAUUCAAAAAGAAAGCCACACAAAAAAGCUCUUAGAAGAACAAACAACCUUCUGCAGAUGCAGAAGAAAGGCAGAGAAAUAUUAGAUGACUUACCCACAGUCUGUAGCAGGGGAUGA
rnacentral:lncRNA from 1 species